rnacentral:rRNA from 1 species
AGAUUGAACGCUGGCGGCAUGCCUAACACAUGCAAGUCGAACGGGAGUAGCAAUACUCUAGUGGCGGACGGGUGAGGAAUACGUAGGAAUUUGCCCUUAAGUGGGGGAUAACCCGGGGAAACCCGGAUUAAUACCGCAUGACCUCGAAAGAGCAAAGUGGGGGAUCGCAAGACCUCACGCUUUUGGAGAAGCCUACGUCGGAUUAGCUAGUUGGUGAGGUAAUGGCUCACCAAGGCGACGAUCCGUAACUGGUCUGAGAGGAAGAUCAGUCACACCGGAACUGAGACACGGUCCGGACUCCGUACGGGAGGCAGCAGGUGGGGAAUUAGUUGGACAAGUGGGCGC